AUUGAACGCUGGCGGCAUGCUUUACACAUGCAAGUCGAGCGGUAACAGGCCGCAAGGUGCUGACGAGUGGCGAACGGGUGAGUAAUGCAUCGGAACGUGCCCAGUCGUGGGGGAUAACGCAGCGAAAGCUGCGCUAAUACCGCAUACGAUCUCUGGAUGAAAGCGGGGGACCGAAGGGCCUCGCGCGAUUGGAGCGGCCGAUGUCAGAUUAGGUAGUUGGUGGGGUAAAGGCUCACCAAGCCAACGAUCUGUAGCUGGUCUGAGAGGACGACCAGCCACACUGGGACUGAGACACGGCCCAGACUCCUACGGGAGGCAGCAGUGGGGAAUUUUGGACAAUGGGCGCAAGCCUGAUCCAGCAAUGCCGCGUGCAGGAAGAAGGCCUUCGGGUUGUAAACUGCUUUUGUACGGAACGAAACGGUCCUGGUUAAUACCUGGGGCUAAUGACGGUACCGUAAGAAUAAGCACCGGCUAACUACGUGCCAGCCGCCGCGGUAACAC
rnacentral:rRNA from 1 species